UACAAAUUUUAAUUUUUAGGAAAAAUGGAGAAAACGAUGGAAAAAUCUUACAAAAAUGGUAGGAAAAUUUUCCCUGUCUGCGUGCUGUGCACAUUCACACAUGCGACCAGCUAAACGUACGCUUGCACACACGUCCAAUUUGCACAAGGUGUAAGGUGCGCAUAGGCACCUCGGCCAACACGCACGGCAGGCGUUGCCAAUAUGCAGCCUGCCUUGGGCGGUGUAUGCAACACCUUAGGGGGCGUGCACUACCGUGAGCGUUUGGGAGGCGUGCGUCGU
rnacentral:lncRNA from 1 species